rnacentral:lncRNA from 1 species
AGUCUUAUUGAUAUGAAUGGAACAUAUUUUCUUGGAAGAUGUUUUGGAUUUCAAGUACAAGGGGGUUUAGAUCUCAAAUAAUUUUGUUUCAUUUUUUUCUGUGACCCUUCACCACACUGUAUUUGAACCAAACAUUCAAACAAAACAAGUUGGUUUUUCCUUAUAUAUAUCCUAUUUGACUCACACCACCACCACAAAACAUGAAGGGAGACAGGAGUAUAUAUAUAGAUGAUCCAUAUAUAUAUGUUUUAUCUUUAUUCUACAGCUACAGGCUGUCAAAUCCACAGUGUUCAGCUUUGCAGCUUUGCCUGGAAGCAAGAUGCCCUGACACAACCUUGAAGGUUCUCUAUCUGAAAUUGUUGAAACAGAAAGAGGAGCCUCACUGUACUCAGCACAUGGACAGAUCACGUCUUCCUGCUGAGGUGACUGGGAAUCCAAAUUCAUACACUACCAGGAAUAAAGCAUCUGUCAGGUCCAUCUGGCUUCCAAACACCAAUUCCAUUUGCCUAUACAGAUUCAGAGCCAUUGUAGUCUUUAUGAUGUCUUUAUGCAGUCUUUAUGUCUUUAUGAUGGCAAUUUUAAUUGUAUUUUAAUCGUAUUUUAAUUGUAUUUUAAUCAUUUUAUAUUUUAUUGUAUUGAAUUUUAAUUGUUGUAAGCCACCCAGAGACCUUUGGGUAGAGUGGGCGGCAUAUAAAUUAAAUAAAUAAUGAAUAAUGAAUAAUGAAUAAUGAAUA